GAUGAACGCUGGCGGCGUGCCUAAUACAUGCAAGUAGAACGCUGAAGGAAGGAGCUUGCUCUUUCCGGAUGAGUUGCGAACGGGUGAGUAACGCGUAGGUAACCUGCCUGGUAGCGGGGGAUAACUAUUGGAAACGAUAGCUAAUACCGCAUAACAGUAGAUGUUGCAUGAUAUCUACUUAAAAGGUGCAAUUGCACCACUACCAGAUGGACCUGCGUUGUAUUAGCUAGUUGGUGAGGUAACGGCUCACCAAGGCGACGAUACAUAGCCGACCUGAGAGGGUGAUCGGCCACACUGGGACUGAGACACGGCCCAAACUCCUACGGGAGGCAGCAGUAGGGAAUCUUCGGCAAUGGACGGAAGUCUGACCGAGCAACGCCGCGUGAGUGAAGAAGGUUUUCGGAUCGUAAAGCUCUGUUGUAAGAGAAGAACGAGUGUGAGAGUGGAAAGUUCACACUGUGACGGUAUCUUACCAGAAAGGGACGGCUAACUACGUG
rnacentral:rRNA from 1 species